rnacentral:tRNA from 1 species
GCGGAAGUGGCGGAAUUGGUAGACGCACCAGAUUUAGGUUCUGGCGCCGUAAGGUGUGAGAGUUCAAGUAUCUCCUUCCGCACCA